rnacentral:rRNA from 1 species
CACGUAGGGCGCGAGCGUUGUCCGGAAUUAUUGGGCGUAAAGAGCUCGUAGGCGGCCUGUUGCGUCCGCUGUGAAAGCCCGGGGCUUAACCCCGGGUCGGCAGUGGAUACGGGCAGACUAGAGGUAGGUAGGGGAGAAUGGAAUUCCUGGUGUAGCGGUGAAAUGCGCAGAUAUCAGGAGGAACACCGGUGGCGAAGGCGGUUCUCUGGGCAUUACCUGACGCUGAGGAGCGAAAGCAUGGGUAGCAAACAGG